GACCAGACUCCUACGGGAGGCAGCAGUGGGGAAUAUUGCACAAUGGGGGAAACCCUGAUGCAGCGACGCCGCGUGAGCGAUGAAGUAUUUCGGUAUGUAAAGCUCUAUCAGCAGGGAAGAAGAUGACGGUACCUGACUAAGAAGCCCCGGCUAACUACGUGCCAGCAGCCGCGGUAAUACGUAGGGGGCAAGCGUUAUCCGGAUUUACUGGGUGUAAAGGGAGCGUAGACGGCGACGCAAGCCAGAUGUGAAAGCCCGGGGCUCAACCCCGGGACUGCAUUUGGAACUGUGUGGCUGGAGUGUCGGAGAGGCAGGCGGAAUUCCUAGUGUAGCGGUGAAAUGCGUAGAUAUUAGGAGGAACACCAGUGGCGAAGGCGGCCUGCUGGACGAUGACUGACGUUGAGGCUCGAAAGCGUGGGGAGCAAACAGGAUUAGAUACCCGUGUAGCC
rnacentral:rRNA from 1 species